CUGGAAGGAUUAUGAAAGCUCCAAGGAAUUGUUGGGCUCUCUGUGAGUCAUUCUUUCAGAUAUUUCUGAGCCAAGGGUGGUUGGAUUUGCAAUCGUGUAACCAGCAGAUCUGGAGGGCUAACUACAUUCCUAAAGAGGAAAAAACAAUCCAGAAGAUGCCACCAAGAGAAAAUCCUCUUCAGUGGAUGCCAGCCCAUCUCCCAAGGAUGCGUCCCAAUUCUCCACACCUC